rnacentral:rRNA from 1 species
AUUGAACGCUGGCGGCAUGCCUUACACAUGCAAGUCGAACGGUAACAGGUCUUCGGAUGCUGACGAGUGGCGAACGGGUGAGUAAUACAUCGGAACGUGCCCGAUCGUGGGGGAUAACGAAGCGAAAGCUUUGCUAAUACCGCAUAAGAUCUAUGGAUGAAAGCAGGGGACCGCAAGGCCUUGCGCGAACGGAGCGGCCGAUGGCAGAUUAGGUAGUUGGUGGGAUAAAAGCUUACCAAGCCGACGAUCUGUAGCUGGUCUGAGGGGACGACCAGCCACACUGGGACUGAGACACGGCCCAGACUCCUACGGGAGGCAGCAGUGGGGAAUUUUGGACAAUGGGCGAAAGCCUGAUCCAGCCAUGCCGCGUGCAGGAUGAAGGCCUUCGGGUUGUAAACUGCUUUUGUACGGAACGAAAAGACUCUUUCUAAUAAAGAGGGUCCAUGACGGUACCGUAAGAAUAAGCACCGGCUAACUACGUGCCAGCCGCCGCGGUAAAAC